GUAGGCUACGGGGACAUGAGGCCCAUCACUGUGGGAGGCAAGAUUGUGGGCUCACUCUGCGCCAUCGCUGGGGUCCUCACUAUCGCCCUGCCUGUGCCUGUCAUCGUCUCCAAU
rfam:Cricetulus griseus cell line CHO-K1, whole genome shotgun sequence.